rnacentral:lncRNA from 1 species
CUAUCAACUUCAGCGCCGGAACUUCCGGCUAUUGCGGCCAUCUUGACUUCCUGACCUUGGGCUUCGGCUGGUCCUUGUCCUUGGUCACUCCGCGCCGUCAUGUCUUCCCUGACGCCGCUGCUGCUGAGGAGCCUGACCGGCCCGGCCCGGCGGCUUAUGGUGCCGCGGGCUCAGGUCCACUCGAAGCCGCCGCGGGAGCAGCUCGGGGUCCUGGUGAGCGGGACGGAGCGGGAGCGGGGAGGUGGGCGAACUGGGGUAGCCUGCGACAUUGGCUUGGGCCUGUCUGCAAGGCGUGGAUGAGACAAGUUGCUCGACUGCUCCUAAACCCUAGUUAUUUUUCCCAAGUUCCUGGCACUGCCAGCCGGUCAGUUUACUCGCUGUUCGGCCUCUCUAAACCGGUCUCUCUUUUUAAUUUUUUUUGCGUGGGAGAAA